GCCUGCAUGAAGUCGGAAUUGCUAGUAAUCGCGGAUCAGCAUGCCGCGGUGAAUACGUUCCCGGGCCUUGUACACACCGCCCGUCACACCAUGGGAGUCGGUAACACCCGAAGCCGAUAGUCUAACGAAAGAGGACGUCGUCGAAGGUGGGAUUGAUGACUGGGGUGAAGUCGUAACAAGGUAUC
rnacentral:rRNA from 1 species